rnacentral:rRNA from 1 species
UGAGGAAUAUUGGUCAAUGGACGCAAGUCUGAACCAGCCAUGCCGCGUGCAGGAAGACGGCUCUAUGAGUUGUAAACUGCUUUUGUACGAGGGUAAACGCAGAUACGUGUAUCUGUCUGAAAGUAUCGUACGAAUAAGGAUCGGCUAACUCCGUGCCAGCAGCCGCGGUAAUACGGAGGAUUCAAGCGUUAUCCGGAUUUAUUGGGUUUAAAGGGUGCGUAGGCGGUUGGAUAAGUUAGAGGUGAAAUCCCGGGGCUCAACUCCGGAAUUGCCUCUGAUACUGUUCGGCUAGAGAUCAGUUGCGGUAGGCGGAAUGUAUGGUGUAGCGGUGAAAUGCUUAGAGAUCAUACAGAACACCGAUUGCGAAGGCAGCUUACCAAGCUGAAUCUGACGUUGAGGCACGAAAGCGUGGGUAGCAAACA